rnacentral:SRP_RNA from 1 species
ACGGGGUGCGGUAGCAUGUGCCUGUAGUCCCAGCUACUCGGGAGGCUGAGGCUGGAGGAUCACUUGAGUCCAGGAGUUCUGGGCUGUAGUGCGCUGUGCCGAUUGGGUGUCCGCAGUAAGUUCGUCAUCAAUAUGGUGACCUCCCGGGAGCAGUAGACCACCAGGUUGCCUAAGGAGAGGUGAACCUGCCCAGAUCAGAAACAGAGCAGAUCAAAACUCCCGUGCUGAUCAGUAGUGGGAUCGCACCUGUGAAUAACUACUGCACUCCAGCCUAGGCAACAUAGCGAGACCCUGUCUCU